AAGACAUGAGACGAGGCCUGUUUUGUCUUAAGCUAUAGAGGAGUUACUUCUAUCUGAAGAAUGGUGCAGCAUCAAGAGAAAUAAUUUCUUGCUUGUGGAUAAUAGAAGCGGAGAUGAAAGAUUUUUGGUAUUCUGUACAGCUCAAAAUUUGAAGUUGCUAUGUUCAUCUCAUAAACUGUGGAUGGAUGGAACAUUUAAAAUUGUACCCCGGUUGUUCAAACAACUGUACACUAUCCAUUCACGGUUUAUGGGUGAAAUCUUUCCUCUUGUGUACUGCCUCAUGCAAGACAAGAGGAAAGAAACUUACAAAAAAGUGUUUCAAGCCAUUAAAUGUGCUACGAACAAUGCAGAACUUGCAUUUAACCCAGCAAUCUGCAUUUUGAAAUUGCAGUCAUGAAAGCCCUGGAGGAAGAGUUCACUAACAAUUCGGUGACAGGCAGCUUCUUACACUUUGGACAAAGCAUAUGGAGAAAGUUCAAAGACGUGGCCUAGUAAGGCACUACAGAACUGUGGACAAAUAAGAAGGUGGAUCAGGCGUAUUGCGGCACUUCCUCUAGUACCACCCGAGGAAGUAAGUAAUGCCUACCUUUGGAUAAAGCAGGAGGAUCCCUCCCAAUAUGUGCCUCAAGCGAUUGAUAUGUACACAUAUUUGGAUAAGACAUACUUGAAUGAGGUGGACGUCCUAUUUGAAAAAAAAAAAUUUGGAACCAUUUUCAUAGUGGGAAUGAAAGAACAACGAAUCAUGUGAAAGGGUGGCAUUCCAAAUUAAACCGAAACCCACCACCUAGAGAUUUUUCUCCAUGAUUUCUUUGAGAUCCAGGUGGAAGAUGAAGGGAAAAGAAACAUGCUUAUUGCAGGUAGAGCAGCAUAUAAAAUCCAUUACGAGCGACUCGGUGGUCUCAAAGAAGAGUUGACAAGAGGGACACGGACCCCGCCAGAUUAUAUAGAUGCAGUGUCAUAUGUCACAACAUUGAAAGGUCUUGAUUGUUGAAUCUGUCAUGUUACAAAAUCAGAAAAUGCAUGGAAAUUUUGUAC